rnacentral:rRNA from 2 species
UGCAGUCGAGCGGAUCUUCAUUAGCUUGCUUUUGAAGAUCAGCGGCGGACGGGUGAGUAACACGUGGGCAACCUGCCUGUAAGACUGGGAUAACUUCGGGAAACCGGAGCUAAUACCGGAUAAUCCUUUCCCUCACAUGAGGGAAAGCUGAAAGACGGUUUCGGCUGUCACUUACAGAUGGGCCCGCGGCGCAUUAGCUAGUUGGUGAGGUAAUGGCUCACCAAGGCAACGAUGCGUAGCCGACCUGAGAGGGUGAUCGGCCACACUGGGACUGAGACACGGCCCAGACUCCUACGGGAGGCAGCAGUAGGGAAUCUUCCGCAAUGGACGAAAGUCUGACGGAGCAACGCCGCGUGAACGAUGAAGGCUUUCGGGUCGUAAAGUUCUGUUGUCAGGGAAGAACAAGUACCGGAGUAACUGCCGGUACCUUGACGGUACCUGACCAGAAAGCCACGGCUAACUACGUGCCAGCAGCCGCGGUAAUACGUAGGUGGCAAGCGUUGUCCGGAAUUAUUGGGCGUAAAGCGCGCGCAGGCGGUUCCUUAAGUCUGAUGUGAAAGCCCCCGGCUCAACCGGGGAGGGUCAUUGGAAACUGGGGAACUUGAGUGCAGAAGAGGAGAGCGGAAUUCCACGUGUAGCGGUGAAAUGCGUAGAGAUGUGGAGGAACACCAGUGGCGAAGGCGGCUCUCUGGUCUGUAACUGACGCUGAGGCGCGAAAGCGUGGGGAGCGAACAGGAUUAGAUACCCUGGUAGUCCACGCCGUAAACGAUGAGUGCUAAGUGUUAGAGGGUUUCCGCCCUUUAGUGCUGCAGCAAACGCAUUAAGCACUCCGCCUGGGGAGUACGGCCGCAAGGCUGAAACUCAAAGGAAUUGACGGGGGCCCGCACAAGCGGUGGAGCAUGUGGUUUAAUUCGAAGCAACGCGAAGAACCUUACCAGGUCUUGACAUCCUCUGACAACCCUAGAGAUAGGGCGUUCCCCUUCGGGGGACAGAGUGACA